GCAUGCAGGCAUGAGUAGCGAUAAUUAAUGUGAGAAUCAUUAACGCCGUAAACCCAAGGUUUCCUACGCGAUGCUCGUCAUCGUAGGGUUAGUCGGGUCCUAAGUCGAGUCCGAAAGGGGUAGACGAUGGCAAAUUGGUUAAUAUUCCAAUACCAACAUUAGUGUGCGAUGGAAGGACGCUUAGGGCUAAGGGGGCUAGCGGAUGGAAGUGCUAGUCUAAGGUCGUAGGAGGUUGUACAGGCAAAUCCGUAUAACAAUACUCCGAGAACUGAAAGGCUUUUUGAAGUCUUCGGAUGGAUAGAAGAACCCCUGAUGCCGUCGAGCCAAGAAAAGUUUCUAAGUUUAGCUAAUGUUGCCCGUACCGUAAACCGACACAGGUGGGUGGGAUGAGUAUUCUAAGGCGCGUGGAAGAACUCUCUUUAAGGAACUCUGCAAAAUAGCACCGUAUCUUCGGUAUAAGGUGUGGUUAGCUUCGUACUAGGAUUUACUCCGAAAGCGAAGAAACUUACAACAAAGAGUCCCUCCCGACUGUUUACCAAAAACACAGCACUCUGCUAACUCGUAAGAGGAUGUAUAGGGUGUGACGCCUGCCCGGUGCUCGAAGGUUAAUUGAUGGGGUUAGCAUUAGCGAAGCUCUUGAUCGAAGCCCGAGUAAACGGCGGCCGUAACUAUAACGGUCCUAAGGUAGCGAAAUUCCUUGUCGGUUAAA
rnacentral:rRNA from 1 species